rnacentral:rRNA from 1 species
GACGAACGCUGGCGGCGUGCUUAACACAUGCAAGUCGAACGAAGUGGCGAACGGGUGAGUAACGCGUAAUAAACCUGCCCUUCAGAGGGGGACAACAGUUGGAAACGACUGCUAAUACCCCUUACUGAUUGCGGGGAGUGCGUAUGAUUAGCUAGUUGGAGGGGGAACGGCCCACCAAGGCGAUGAUAAGUAGCAGGUCUGAGAGGAUGAACGGCCCAAGUGGGACUGAGACACGGCCCAGACUCCUACGGGAGGCAGCAGUGGGGAAGCUGCCGCAAUGGACGAAAGUCUGACGGAGCAACGCCGCGUGAGUGAUGACGGCCUUCGGGUUGUAAAGCUCUGUUAAUCGGGACGCGGUACCGGAAUAGAAAGCCACGGCUAACUACGUGCCAGCCGCCGCGGUAAUAC